GCUCUCAUAGCUCAGCAGGCAGAGCAGCGCUUUUGUAAAGCGCAGGUCGCAGGUUCGAAUCCGUGCUGAGGGCACCA
rnacentral:tRNA from 1 species